UUCUCUUUUUUCGCUCAUUCACUUUCAAAAUUUUCGCCCCAGCCGCCAUCCACCCCAAGCCACCCACCGGCGGCCACCCCAGCCACCGUCGCCCCACGCCACCCACCGCCGACCAGCCCCAUCCACCAUCGCCCACUCCACCCAGUGGAAGAGAUCGGCAUCCAGUGAGUGGCAAAAUCUCUCGCCACCUACUGGAAUCUAUUCCGGGCACCGAUUUCAUCCCCUCGCCAUCGAUUCCCGCCUUAUUCCCUUGCCUCACCGCCUGCUCCUCGUCACUGUUGAAUCAUUCGACUUCGCCCUCGACUCCGACUCCACCGCCGCCCGUCAAUCUGACUUCGCCUUCGCCUUCAACGACAACAAUUUUUUCGACCGCCUGCUACAGAUCGAGAUCAUCGGAGAUCCCCUCAACGCCCAUGCCGAAUCCGACCUAGCUGAUUGGGCCGCGCGCCUCUGCGAGCUCCGCCGCCGAGACCUUGUGGAAAAGCAGCUCGUGACUGUAGUGUUUUUGGAGAGUGGACAAAUGCACCUGGUUGGAGCAUUCUGCUGUAGGAUGGACUUUGCUGGAGUAACUACAAAGUUCUGCUGAUGAUUUGUUUACGUUUUCUUAGAGCUCUAAGACACUAUUUGAUUAAGGGAACUAGCUUCCGUUUUUAGUUGAAAAGAGGCAAACAUGAGAAUGAAGAGAGAUUAAUGAUUUUCUUUAAUGAUAAGCUCUGAGGUCGUAAUAUGCUUUACCAAUGUCAGAUGGGGUGAACUUUUGAUGUUUACGGAUAUACCAAUGUCAUUAAAGAUGUUGCACAAAUAUGCCAUGAUCUACGAUCGAUUGGCGGAAAGUGUGAAGGAGAAGACGAAAAGGCUGGAGGACCCCGAUCCUCGCUUCCUCCGCUACAACUCGCCACAUCCAACAGUAGAUUCUCACACCAAAAUCUUAUCCGCCCCGCUCACGCAAGUCACGACCCUUCCUAAUGGCCUGCGCAUCGCGACGGAGUCGAAUCUCGCCACGACGACGGCUACCGUUGGUGUUUUCAUUGACGCUGGAUCGAGGUUCGAGAGCGACGAGACCAACGGAACAGCGCAUUUUCUGGAGCAUAUGAUAUUUAAGGGGACGGAAAAGAGGACCGCGAGACAACUGGAGGAGGAGAUUGAGAAUAUGGGCGGGCAUUUGAAUGCUUACACUUCAAGGGAGCAGACAACGUACUAUGCGAAGGUGUUCGAUAAGGAUGUGCCCCGUGCUCUAGAUAUUUUGUCCGAUAUUCUUCAGAAUUCGAAGUUUGAGGAGACCAGAAUUACCAGGGAGAGGGAUGUAAUUCUUCGCGAGAUGGAGGAGGUAUUUUGUUGACGUUUGAGUAAUCUUGCUCUUUUUGAUCAAUUGCUGAUAUUAUUUUUGGUUGAUGUGAUUUAUAAUUGUUUUAAGUCUCAUUGUUUUUGCGUGUUCGAUAUUGUGGUUGAAUUGAUUUAUUUUUUAUUGUGUUUGCAUUUGCUUUUGGGGAAAAUGUUGUGAUUUUUGGUUCGAGAUUGCAAGAAAUGUUUGCAGGUAUAAAGAUAAAUCCUAGGAAAGUGUCUUUAUUGAUUCCUAUAUAAUGCUAAAAGUUGGACAUUGUCUUAGGAUCUUCUUUUAGAUUCUAAAUAUAAGUAGCUGAGGGGAUCGAUUCAUUACUUUAUCCAUUACAUCCUAAUUUGAGCUUCUAGCAAGACGUUGGUAAUUCAAAUGGAAGACUUUUUCCAUGGGAACCACACUUUCAGUUCUCAAAAGUUGCUUACUGCCUUACUCCCCAGUGAAUGUUUCCUCUAUAAUUUAGUACAAAAAUCCAUAUUAUGUUGCAUCCUUUCUUAUGUUUACGGAUAUACCAAUGUCAUUAAAAGCAUAUUAUGUUUACGGAUAUACCAAUGUCAUUAAAGAUGUUGCACAAAUACGCAAUUGUUGCACUCAUUGAUGGAUUCACAAUUAAAGGAAGCGUGGAUCCGCUUGUCUUCGGUCAUGAUCUAGACGUUUUCAUUGGAUUUGAUGACAUUCAUCAUAUGUGUGGAUUCUAUGUUAUGCGACACAUGAGAGAUGUUAUUGAUAAUAUUGUAUCUGAUCACUCUCUCCCAAUAACUACACUGUUUGCAGGAGGAUGCUACUCCAAAAAGGAAAUUGAUGAAGUAAGGAUAGAGUGGGCAGAAUUCGUAUGUAAAAUCACAGAUGAGUGAUGAUGGAUGGUGUAACUUGCUUGUUUUCGGUGUUGCAGUUAUGUUUCAAUUAGUAGGAAUGAUGAUGUUUGGAUUCUAAUGUAAUGUAGGAUGAUGAUUGGAUUCUAAUGUAAUGUAGGGAUGAUGAUGUUGGAUUGUAUUGUAAUGUAGAAUGAUGAUGAUGGAUUAUAAUGUAUGAAUUUUAUUAUUAAUUUAUGUAUUUUUAGCUUUUCA